AUGAGGCAUGUUUUGAGAAUAAAAGCGGUGUCUGAUACUUUUGUUCUGAUUCAUGUGGUUUGUUAUUUGGUUAAACUCAUGGUCAAUUUGCAGAUUACUGCUGAUUUGGGGAGCAAAGCUCUUCGAGAAAGUGACAAAUCAAGUCUUUCGAGCAUCUCAAAGACGGCGACCUGGAGUCGUUUGACUGGUAGCUUAAAAGCAAUUAAAGUGAAGAGAGGAAUCAAACUUUUAAAGCCACUCUUGCCAUUUGUGGACUCUUCCUGCUUGUUGGUGACUGCUUUUGCGAUGUCCACUCUCAUCUAG
rnacentral:rRNA from 1 species